UACGUAGGGGGCAAGCGUUGUCCGGAUUUAUUGGGCGUAAAGCGCGUGUAGGCGGCCACGCAGGUCCGCUGUGAAAACUCGAGGCUCAACCUCGAGAUGUCGGUGGAAACCGCGUGGCUAGAGUCCGGAAGAGGAGAGUGGAAUUCCCGGUGUAGCGGUGAAAUGCGCAGAUAUCGGGAAGAACACCCAUGGCGAAGGCAGCUCUCUGGGACGGUACUGACGCUGAGGCGCGAAAGCUAGGGGAGCAAACGGG
rnacentral:rRNA from 1 species